GCUUUGCUGAGCUGCCUGCGCUGGGCCUGUGGGGGGAAGAGGCUGGACCGAAUUGACUAAAGAAAGGAAACUCGCCUCCCUUACACUUUCAAGGAGUGGUAUCCGCCAGAGGGAUGGCGCGAAAGAGGCCGGGGACGCCCGCGUCGGUUGUGUCGCAGGUGCUCCCCACCCCCAUUCUCCUCAGGGGGGGCUUUCUCUAGUGAGUUGAGGGCCGGACGCACAGCUCCCGAGGUCGUGAAGCUCCUUGGGGGCUUGGCUGGAGGAGGUUGGGUCUGGCGUGAGAGACAGCCCAGUGCACCGGGAACAGAGAAAGGGGAAGGAAUGGGGAGAGGGAGCGCAGAGAGCCUUCGGUCGGGCGUCUCGAAAGUCAGUAUAUGCUCACUGAAAACGGGAUUGCUUCAAGAGGACUUUGAGGCCAGGGUGAUUAGGUAAGUAAAAGAUAAAGGUAGAAAAUUUUUGUCACUUAGGUCUAAGUAAUUAUUCUAGUAAGGCCUGUUUCUGCUAGGCUCAGAAGAUUAAAAGAUUUGGCUCUUUUAAAAUAUAGAAAGUGCUAGCUUCAGCUAGAAUUUAGGCCUUUAGUAAUAGCCCUAAUUUUUAUGAAGCCAUUUUGUUCCAGUGAUCUUUUGGUGAGAGAUGCUAUGUAAGUGCUGUUCUUCAGAAUUAGGUGUCUUUUUACCCCUAAUGAAAUAAUUUACAUUGCUUUUGGCAUAGGUAAAAUCUGUAAUUGUAGAAAAACCAUAUGAAUCCUUUGUUGUAGAACCUCAUGGGGGGAAUGAGCAGACAGGAAUGGAUGAAAGAUAGCCAGUUUGUGUUCCAUUUCAAGCCUGUGGGCUCACACAUUUAUUCAGAUAAGAACUUCAGAUUGUUUUUUUAACCACCUUCACUAAACUGGCAUGUAGGAAUACAUAAUGUGUUCACUUUAGGUCUCUAAUACAGGUUCGUGUUUCUUAGUGUUGACAGAUCACCUGUGGUUCUCCAAAAUGCACAUUCUAGUCCAAGAGGUCUAGGGGAGGAACCUGAGAGUAGCACACUAAUGCUUAGGAAUCUGUGGAGUCGCAAGAGCAGUGGAAGAAUUAAAUCAAUAGCUACAGAAAUAACAGUAAGAACAAGUCAUCUCUCUAGUGAAUUAUUUUUCACUUUAGUGAGAUAAACAUACAUGUUAAUGAGCUCAAGUUUUCCCAAAAGUAUAAUUCUUCUGGUUCUUCUAAGAAAAUGACACUCAGUGGAAACAGAAGGAAGAACUAAAUUUGUUUGCUUUUGUAGCAGUUGGGAAAGUUAGUGCUAGGAAGUCUUUUUGUUUUAUAGUAGGCUUUAAUCUGGACAUUGCUGGUAAAGUUUAUUCUAAAUCCUUGAACUCUGGAUAAGAAGUAAAUACAAAAAGCUUCUCAACCUUCCAAGCAAAAUUGAGAGCUUUCAGGUUAUGUGAGUAAUUUAGUCUCUUGGGUGGUUAGUUGAUUCCUUGAAGCUCAUUUUUGUGAUCUCUUCCAAGAUUGUAUUUGCUUUGAGGGUAGGGAGUUAGACAAGAUGGUAUGAGGUCUCUAAAUUUUUACUUGCCAAACAAAAUUGGACAGUGGUUCCUUAAUUGCUAACAUCUUCGUUUCUUCCUAAAGCCUCAUGUUUUAUAUACAGGAGCCUUCCCAAAAUCCCAUCCCCCAACACCCUCCAUCAUGUAGAGAGAACAAACGUCUCUUCCUGUACAGAGUACAGGAUCCUUCAACUUUCACACAGGCUGCAGUGUCUGCCACACAUUCAGCUCAACAUUUUUUAGUCUUAAACUGAUGUCACCUGCUGCAUCUGUCCCUGGGUUGGACCUUGUAGAUUUAGUUUGCAUAAAUUUUCUCGGCUUGAAGUUAACAUUGAAUGGAGUAGGCUUACCGUAAAGGGCUUAAUAAAUGCCAUGCAUGUCUACAUUCUGUGUGGAAAUUGAGCUAGUCAGGUUGAUACUUAACAUUGUAGGUUCUUUAAUUUGUGUAAAAUAAUAGUUACCAUUUAACUCUUUAGGUUAGCUUUGUACAUAGCAUCUCACUUUGCACAACAACCCUACAAGGUAAGUAUUGUUAUUCUUGUGUUACAAAUGAAGUUGACUAUGAGAGGUUGAGUACCAUGUCCAAGGUCACACAGCUGUUAAAUGGCAGAGCUGGGAUACUGUGGGAUAGCCUAACUGUGACUCAGAACUUUAUGCUUUACCCCCACACCAUGCCAGGUGGUCCUUCCUUUCAGAAAUGAUGGAAGUCCUGCAAAAUGCAAUAAACUGAAGUAAUGUAGCUUCUAUUGUAACAAAGUAAAUAACUCAGUAGAUUUACUGGAUUUUAAACUUUAUUCUUUGGGAAAACAAUCUGUGACUUACUUCACACCAAAUAUUUGUUGGUGAAGGAUUUGGACUUUAGGGAUAAAAGUGGAUACAUUUUUAUUUUACAAACUCUAUUUGAACUUAAUUAUUGGCUCUUCAAUUUUGAAUUACCAGCUUUUUUUUUUUUUUUUAAUGAAUUUUAUUUACAUCGUGGUCAAAUAAAAAUUGUUGAGCAGGGAAAAUAAA